UACGUAGGGGGCAAGCGUUGUCCGGAUUUAUUGGGCGUAAAGAGCUCGUAGGCGGCUCAGUAAGUCGGGUGUGAAAACUCCAGGCUCAACCUGGAGACGCCACCUGAUACUGCUGUGGCUAGAGUCCGGUAGGGGAGCAUGGAAUUCCUGGUGUAGCGGUGAAAUGCGCAGAUAUCAGGAGGAACACCGGUGGCGAAGGCGGGUCUCUGGGCCGAUACUGACGCUGAGGAGCGAAAGCGUGGGGAGCGAACAGG
rnacentral:rRNA from 1 species